rnacentral:rRNA from 1 species
UGGGGAAUAUUGCACAAUGGGCGCAAGCCUUAUGCAGCCAUGCCGCGUGUAUGAAGAAGGCCUUCGGGUUGUAAAGUACUUUCAGUCGGGAGGAAGGUGUCAAGGUUAAUAACCUUGGCAAUUGACGUUACCGACAGAAGAAGCACCGGCUAACUCCGUGCCAGCAGCCGCGGUAAUACGGAGGGUGCAAGCGUUAAUCGGAAUUACUGGGCGUAAAGCGCACGCAGGCGGUUGAUUGAGUCAGAUGUGAAAUCCCCGGGCUUAACCCGGGAAUUGCAUCUGAUACUGGUCAGCUAGAGUCUUGUAGAGGGGGGUAGAAUUCCAUGUGUAGCGGUGAAAUGCGUAGAGAUGUGGAGGAAUACCGGUGGCGAAGGCGGCCCCCUGGACAAAGACUGACGCUCAGGUGCGAAAGCGUGGGGAGCAAACAGG